rnacentral:rRNA from 1 species
AUUGAACGCCGGCGGCGUGCCUAACACAUGCAAGUCGAGCGGUAACAGGUGUAGCAAUACAUGCUGACGAGCGGCGGACGGGUGAGUAACGCUUGGGAAUCUGCCUAUUAGUGGGGGACGAACCCGGGGAAACGUCGGGCGUAAUACCGCAUACGCUCUACGGAGGAAAGACCGGGGACCGGCAAGGCCUGGCGCUAAUAGAUGAGCCCAACGUCGGAUUAGCUAGUUGGUAGGGGUAAUGGCCUACCAAGGCGACGAUCCGUAACCUGGUCUGAGAGGACGACCAGUCACACCGGAAC